UCGAGAAUCUUCGGCAAUGGGCGAAAGCCUGACCGAGCGACGCCGCGUGCGGGAUGAAGGCCUUCGGGUUGUAAACCGCUGUCAGAGGGGAGGAAAUAUUUAAGGGUCAUCCCUUUUAUUUGACCGAUCCUCAGAGGAAGUACGGGCUAAGUUCGUGCCAGCAGCCGCGGUAAUACGAACCGUACGAACGUUAUUCGGAAUCACUGGGCUUAAAGAGUGCGUAGGCGGCUUAGCAAGUUGGGUGUGAAAUCCCUCGGCUCAACCGAGGAACUGCGCCCAAAACUGCUAGGCUUGAGGGAGGCAGAGGUGAGCGGAACUAAUGGUGGAGCGGUGAAAUGCGUUGAUAUCAUUAGGAACACCGGUGGCGAAGGCGGCUCACUGGGUCUCUUCUGACGCUGAGGCACGAAAGCUAGGGGAGCGAACGGG
rnacentral:rRNA from 1 species